rnacentral:rRNA from 1 species
AACGAACGCUGGCGGCAUGCCUAACACAUGCAAGUCGAACGAGACCUUCGGGUCUAGUGGCGCACGGGUGCGUCACGCGUGGGAACCUGCCCUUAGGUUCGGAAUAACUCCCCGAAAGGGGUGCUAAUACCGGAUAAUGUCUUCGGACCAAAGAUUUAUCGCCUUUGGAUGGGCCCGCGUUGGUUUAGCUUGUUGGUAGGGUAAAAGCCUACCAAGGCGACGAUACAUAGCUGGUCUGAGAGGAUGAGCAGCCACACUGGGACUGAGACACGGGCCAGACUCCUACGGGAUGGAGCAGAGGGUAAUAUAGGACAACGGGCGAAGGCAUGAACCAGCAAUGCCGGGUAAGUGAUGAAGGCCGUAGAGAAGUAAAGCUCGUUUACCCGGGAUGAUAAUGACAGUACCGGGAGAAUAAGCACCGGCUAACUCCGUG